rnacentral:rRNA from 1 species
GGUUGAUCCUGCCAGUCAUAUAUGCUUGUCUUAAAGACUUAGCCAUGCAUGUCCAAGUAUAAACCACUUUAUACGGUGAAACUGCGAAUGGCUCAUUAAAUCAGUUAUAGUUUACUUGAUAGUCUCUUACUACAUGGAUAACCGUGGUAACCCAGAGCUAAUACAUGCAUCAACGCACGACUCUGAAAGGGGAAGUGCAGUAUUUAUUAGGUAAAAAACCAAUGCCUGCAAAGGCUCCCUGGUGAUUCAUAAUAACUUGCGGAUCGCAUGACCUUGUGUCGGCGACAUUUCAU